AACGAACGCUGGCGGCAUGCCUAACACAUGCAAGUCGAACGAGACCUUCGGGUCUUGUGGCGCACGGGUGCGUAACGCGUGGGAACCUGCCCUUAUGUUCGGAAUAACUCCCCGAAAGGGGUGCUAAUACCGGAUAAUGUCUUCUGACCAAGGAUUUAUUGCCUUUGGAUGUGCCCGAGUUGGAUUAGCUAGUUGGUAUGGUAAAAGCCUAUCAAAGCGACGAUCCAUAGCUGGUCUGAGAGGAAGAUCAGCGACACUGGGACUGAGACACGGCACAGAAUCCUACGGGAGGGAGGAGUGGGGGAUAGUGGAAAAAGGGCGAAAGGAUGAUGGAGUAAUGAUGGGAGAGUGAUGAAAGUAGUAGAGAUGUAAAGCGUAUGUAACCAGGAAGAUAAUGACAGUACCGGAAGAAUAAGCUCCGGCUAACUCCGUG
rnacentral:rRNA from 1 species